UUUUUUUAUUUUGUUGUUGUUAUUCUUGGAAGCGUUGAAGGAACUUUUCAGUUGCACUUGCUUAAAAUAAAAGUAUGCGCCCGAACGAAUCAAAGACGUGAGCUAUAGCAAGAUAUUCUACAUACUGUACUUGUUCAUAGCGGUGAGUUACACAUAACUUUCCACUGAAAAGCGUUUGCUUUUUAUCGUACAGCAUCAAAGAAGUCUCGUAUUUAUACUAGUAGUGCACUGCUUCAUAGAAAAAUGUGGUCUUAGUGCCACAAACUGUCAUCAUCCUAUAAAGGCUGAACACUCUGUCUGGUCUUCAUACUCUUUAAAAUGUUUUUGCAGCAAGAGUCAUGUGUAACAUUCCUCCCCUUCCAAGGAAAAGAUUAUCUUCCUGCCUGUAGAGUUUGGGAAUGAAAAAAUAAUUCCAGAGAUGCUCUGGUAUUCAACAGCACAGUUCAUGCAAGAUGUAGUUUACAGGGCCUGGGAACAAGAGAGCUCGGGAACAGCAGCCCUUGGAGAUGUGGAGAAGAGGUAUGAGAAGGUUGAUGACUGCAGUCACUCUCCAGGUGCCUUUGGAUCAAGGUACCGAGAAACAUGAAGGAGCAGGCACUUCUGGGAUUACCGAUCAGGAAAAGGAAUUGUCAAGCAGUGCGUUACAAGCUUUUCUGGCUGGAAACUAUGAUGCUUGUUUACAACACCUAAAUACCCUUCAAGACAUAAACAAAGAUGACUACAAAAUAACUUUGAAUACUGCUGUUGCAGAGUUCUGUAAAAGUAACCAGACCACAACAGACAAUUUGAGACAAACCCUUAACCAGCUGAAGAACCAGGUUCACUCUGCUGUUGAAGAAAUGGAUGGUUUAGAUGAUGUUGAAAAUAGUAUGCUGUACUACAAUCAAGCUGUUAUUUUGUAUCAUCUGCGUCAGUAUACUGAAGCUAUAUCAGUUGGGGAGAAGCUGUACCAGUUCAUAGAGCCUUUCGAAGAGAAGUUUGCCCAGGCUGUGUGCUUCUUGCUUGUAGACUUAUACCUGCUGACUUACCAAGCUGAGAAAGCCUUGCAUCUGCUUGCUGUUCUGGAAAAAAUGAUUUCACAGGGCAACAAUAACAGCAAGAAUGGAAAAAAUGAGUCAGGUAAUAAUACAAAUAAAGAUUCCUCAAAUCAAAAAGCUGAAAGUGGAGCUUUAAUAGAAGUUGCUAAAUCUAAGAUACAUCAGUAUAAGGUGAGAGCCUAUAUCCAGAUGAAGUCACUAAAAGCAUGCAAAAGGGAGAUCAAGUCUGUUAUGAAUACAGCUGGGAAUUCAGCUCCUUCUCUCUUUCUUAAAAGCAAUUUUGAGUAUUUGAGGGGCAAUUAUCGUAAAGCGGUGAAACUUCUAAACAGUGCAAACAUUGCUGAACAUCCAGGCUUCAUGAAAACAGGUGAAUGCUUAAGAUGUAUGUUCUGGAACAAUCUUGGCUGCAUCCACUUUGCAAUGGGCAAGCACAAUUUAGGAAUUUUUUACUUCAAAAAAGCCUUGCAAGAAAACGAUAAUGCAUGUGCACAGCUAGGAAUGGUUAGCUCAGAUCCAGGUAAAAAAUUUUCAGGGAGACCCAUGUGUACGCUACUGACUAACAAAAGGUAUGAGUUACUCUACAAUUGUGGAAUUCAGCUCUUGCAUAUUGGGAGGCCCUUAGCUGCCUUUGAAUGCCUGAUUGAGGCAGUCCAGGUUUAUCACUCAAACCCUCGUCUUUGGCUGAGAAUAGCAGAAUGCUGCAUUGCUGCUAAUAAAGGGACAUCAGAACAAGAGACUAAAGGUCUUCCCAGCAAAAAGGGUAUUGUGCAAUCUAUAGUAGGUCAAGGCUACCACCGUAAGAUAGUCCUAGCAUCUCAGUCAAUACAGAAUGUUGUUUACAAUGAUGGGCAGUCCUCAGCAAUACCUGUAGCCAGUAUGGAAUUUGCAGCGAUUUGUCUAAGAAAUGCCUUGCUGCUACUGCCAGAAGAUCAGCAGGAGCCAAAGCAGGAAAAUGGAUCUAAAACUAGUAGCCAGCUUGGGGGAAAUACAGAAAACAGUGAAAGCAGUGAAGCAUGCAGCAAUAAAAGUCAUGAAGGGGAUAAAUUCAUUGCAGCUCCACCUUCUUCGCCUUUGAAGAAACAGGAAUUAGAAAAUUUAAGGUGCUCAAUACUUGCGUGUAGUGCUUACGUGGCUCUGGCUUUGGGUGAUAACCUUAUGGCAUUGAAUCACGCAGAUAAACUUCUUCAGCAACCAAAGCUGUCAGGGUCUCUUAAGUUUCUUGGGCAUUUGUAUGCAGCAGAAGCUCUCAUCUCUCUAGACAGAAUAUCUGAUGCUAUCACUCACUUGAACCCCGAGAACGUCACUGAUGUUUCCCUUGGGAUCUCUUCAAAUGAGCAGGAUCAAGGGUCUGACAAAGGAGAGAACGAGGCAAUGGAAUCUUCUGGCAAGCAGACCCCACAGUGUUAUCCUAGUUCGGUCACAUCUGCACGAACAAUGAUGUUGUUUAACCUUGGAAGUGCUUACUGCUUGAGGAGUGAAUAUGAUAAAGCUCGGAAGUGUCUUCAUCAGGCUGCUUCGUUGAUCCACCCCAAAGAGAUCCCUCCAGAGGCUAUUCUGCUGGCUGUAUAUCUUGAAUUACAGAAUGGUUCACUGUGUUUGCAUGGAGAAAAAAACCUCUACAUAAUGGGAAACUGGAAAGAUUGCACUUGAAUUCUGCAGUGCGAGCAGGCUGGUGCAGCUGCUGCACCAUUGAAGCUGUCGUGGUUGCGGAGCUGUGCCCCUUGGGGCUUCAUAUCCGAGUGUUGUGAAACGUCCAGUGUGCUUGUUCCCCUUCGGCUGUCUUGCCGGCAGAGGGCUCGAGCAUUUGUAUUCAGAAUUGUGACUUCUACAAAGCUUUUCUUACAAAGAUGUUUGUAAGUUGGAAUUUUGGAAACCUUUCUUUCUGCAACAAAGUGGCACAGAGCAGAAGAGAGCAGGAAGUGGGAUUUAUGUCUCUCACACCCUUCUAAGUAUAUAACCAAAGGGAGCUAAAAGUGGGGGGUUGGGCCUAUAAAUGCCAACAAAGUGGUGCAUCUCUUCUGAGCCUAAAACUUUAGUGAAAGAAAAGUAUUCGGUAAGAGGGAUAAAUGUUCUUUUCAGAACUUAGUGGGGUUUCUCCUAUAAUUUUAUAGGUUUAAUUUUUCACAAUAAUUAAUUUUUCCAUUUAUAUUGGUAUUUAUUUGAAGGGCCAUGCAUGCAGUUGAAAAUCAGAUUUCUUUUGUUUUAAAACCAUGUUUUAUAUAACGCCCUUGCCAUUUGCAUUCCAAUCUGUAAUGUCACAUUGCGAGGGCAUUUUGUGUGAGAGGCAGAGUCUUGCUGUGCGGAUGGGAGAGAGAAGAGUUGCCCUUCAGGAAUUUAGAAGGUGCUGUGGCAUCUUCCAGCUCUGAGAUAAAAGCUGAAUGUCUCCAGCUAAGAACAGGUAACACGCAGUUGGCGCUGCAGAUCAUCAAGAGAAACCAGCUUCUCCCUUCUGUGAAAACGCUCUCCGACAUGCGGAAGAAGCCUGUUUU